UACGGGGGGGGCAAGCGUUGUUCGGAAUUACUGGGCGUAAAGGGCUCGUAGGCGGCCAACUAAGUCGGACGUGAAAUCCCCAGGCUCAACCUGGGAACUGCGUCCGAUACUGGAUGGCUUGAAUCCGGGAGAGGGAUGCAGAAUUCCAGGUGUAGCGGUGAAAUGCGUAGAUAUCUGGAGGAACACCGGUGGCGAAGGCGGCUUCCUGGACCGACACUGACGCUGAGGCGCGAAAGCUAGGGGAGCAAACGGG
rnacentral:rRNA from 1 species